UUCUGAUACCCAGAAACCACAGAUCUCUCUUAAUUUCAUACAUUAACAUCGCGUCCUCUCAAACAGUGAACAGAUCAGACUUUUGUCAGAUUCUUAAGCCCCUAUUACACGUAUCCGGCUUCCUACGGCGCCGUCGGUCGCGACGCUAGCAUAUGUUCAAACCGGAGCGUGUGAUAGCAAAUCGGCCGUAUGAACGCUCACCCACGGCCGGCCGGAUGAACUUUCGCCAGUACUAAAGUUGGCCGUACGGCCGCCGUACGUCAGGACUGAGGACGUAGCGUGCAAUUGCUCACCGUAUGGUAUGACAUCAGUCUGAGGCUGCACCUGACAGUGGAAGGUUGCCACCAUGGCAAGCUCUUGCGCCAGUGAUUUCUUGAGUGACUUCAUAGAAAUUUAUCGAAAUGAGCCAUGUUUGUGGUUCAUUAAAUGUAAGGAUUAUUCAAACAGAGAAUUGGAAAAUGCAGCAUAUGGUAAAUUAGUAAAUAAACUUCAAGAAAUUGAUCCUAGUGCUAAUAAAGAUACUGUUGUUAAGAAAAUAAACUACUUGAGGAGCUCAUACAAUAAAGAGCUUAAAAAAGUGCAAGCGUCUAAAAGUUCGGGGAUCGGUUCAUACUCCAUUUAUACGCCAAAACUCUUAUAUUUUCAUCUGAUGCAUUUCAUCAAAAACCAAAAUGUGGAAUGUGAACAAUCUUUCAAACAUGAGCCUUAAUACACAGGAAAUCAAUGAAGAGAAUCUCAAGAAGACGAUCUCGCUGAAGAGAGGGAAACCCAACAUGAGGAUGAUUCUUCGCUACUGCCUUCACGGCAUACUACAUCAGUCCUACCGGCACCACCAAAAAGGCGCAGAUCGGUACAAGGCAAAGCUGAUCACGUUUUGGACCUUGUAGCAAAAAGGAUGGAAGCACCUCCAAAUUCGGAAUAUGUUGUGUUUGGUAUGUAUGUGGCUAAAAGGUUACAAAGCUUGCAUUUAGCAAACCCGGGGAUGUAUCCGGUUGUUAAAAAGCUAAUAAAUGACGCUAUGUUCGAGGGUGAAAUGGGCACAUUGACGCCCUAUUCACGAAUUGCCCAAAACUAAGCUCCAUCUCUAUCUAGCACUCCUGUACCUACUCCAAGCCCAAGUCAUUACCAAGCUCCAUCGCUAUCUAGCACUCCUGUACCUACUCCAAGCCCAAGUCAUUACCAAGCUCCAUCUCUGUCUAGCACUACUGUACCUACUCCAAGCCCAAGUGCGGAUUACAAUUAUGAGACAGAUGAUAUUCUCCAAAUGUAAUGUAGGUACACAUGUACAUUUAUGAACCUUGGAUACUCUGGAAUAAAGUUUGAAACUUCUUUAUUUUUUCAAUUAACCUGGUAUGAAUGUUUCAUACUAAAACGAGAAAUUAUAGUUAUUUGUGCAAAAAAAAAAAAAAAAAAAAAAA